rnacentral:rRNA from 1 species
GGGUUGUGAGGUUAAGCGACUAAGCGUACACGGUGGAUGCCCUGGCAGUCAGAGGCGAUGAAGGACGUGCUAAUCUGCGAAAAGCGUCGGUAAGGUGAUAUGAACCGUUAUAACCGGCGAUGUCCGAAUGGGGAAACCCAGUGCAAUUCGUUGCACUAUCGUUAACUGAAUACAUAGGUUAACGAGGCGAACCGGGGGAACUGAAACAUCUAAGUACCCCGAGGAAAAGAAAUCAACCGAGAUUCCCCCAGUAGCGGCGAGCGAACGGGGAGCAGCCCAGAGUCUGAAUCAGCUUGUGUGUUAGUGGAACGGUCUGGAAAGUCCGACGGUACAGGGUGAUAGUCCCGUACACCAAAAUGCACAGGCUGUGAACUCGAAGAGUAGGGCGGGACACGUGGUAUCCUGUCUGAAUAUGGGGGGACCAUCCUCCAAGGCUAAAUACUCCUGACUGACCGAUAGUGAACCAGUACCGUGAGGGAAAGGCGAAAAGAACCCCGGCGAGGGGAGUGAAAAAGAACCUGAAACCGUGUACGUACAAGCAGUGGGAGCACCUUCGGGUGUGACUGCGUACCUUUUGUAUAAUGGGUCAGCGACUUAUAUUCUGUAGCAAGGUUAACCGUAUAGGGGAGCCGCAGGGAAACCGAGUCUUAACUGGGCGUUAAGUUGCAGGGUAUAGACCCGAAACCCGGUGAUCUAGCCAUGGGCAGGUUGAAGGUUGGGUAACACUAACUGGAGGACCGAACCGACUAAUGUUGAAAAAUUAGCGGAUGACUUGUGGCUGGGGGUGAAAGGCCAAUCAAACCGGGAGAUAGCUGGUUCUCCCCGAAAGCUAUUUAGGUAGCGCCUCGUGAAUUCAUCUUCGGGGGUAGAGCACUGUUUCGGCUAGGGGGUCAUCCCGACUUACCAACCCGAUGCAAACUACGAAUACCGAAGAAUGUUAUCACGGGAGACACACGGCGGGUGCUAACGUCCGUCGUGAAGAGGGAAACAACCCAGACCGCCAGCUAAGGUCCCAAAGUCAUGGUUAAGUGGGAAACGAUGUGGGAAGGCACAGACAGCCAGGAUGUUGGCUUAGAAGCAGCCAUCAUUUAAAGAAAGCGUAAUAGCUCACUGGUCGAGUCGGCCUGCGCGGAAGAUGUAACGGGGCUAAACCAUGCACCGAAGCUGCGGCAGCGACACUAUGUGUUGUUGGGUAGGGGAGCGUUCUGUAAGCCUGCGAAGGUGACCUGUGAGGGUUGCUGGAGGUAUCAGAAGUGCGAAUGCUGACAUAAGUAACGAUAAAGCGGGUGAAAAGCCCGCUCGCCGGAAGACCAAGGGUUCCUGUCCAACGUUAAUCGGGGCAGGGUGAGUCGACCCCUAAGGCGAGGCCGAAAGGCGUAGUCGAUGGGAAACAGGUUAAUAUUCCUGUACUUGGUGUUACUGCGAAGGGGGGACGGAGAAGGCUAUGUUAGCCGGGCGACGGUUGUCCCGGUUUAAGCAUGUAGGCUGAUUGUCCAGGCAAAUCCGGAUAAUCAAGGCUGAGGUGUGAUGACGAGGCACUACGGUGCUGAAGUAACAAAUGCCCUGCUUCCAGGAAAAGCCUCUAAGCAUCAGGUAACAUCAAAUCGUACCCCAAACCGACACAGGUGGUCAGGUAGAGAAUACCAAGGCGCUUGAGAGAACUCGGGUGAAGGAACUAGGCAAAAUGGUGCCGUAACUUCGGGAGAAGGCACGCUGGUGUGUAGGUGAAGCCCCUGCGGGUGGAGCUGAGACCAGUCGAAGAUACCAGCUGGCUGCAACUGUUUAUUAAAAACACAGCACUGUGCAAACACGAAAGUGGACGUAUACGGUGUGACGCCUGCCCGGUGCCGGAAGGUUAAUUGAUGGGGUUAUCCGUAAGGAGAAGCUCUUGAUCGAAGCCCCGGUAAACGGCGGCCGUAACUAUAACGGUCCUAAGGUAGCGAAAUUCCUUGUCGGGUAAGUUCCGACCUGCACGAAUGGCGUAAUGAUGGCAGGCUGUCUCCACCCGAGACUCAGUGAAAUUGAACUCGCUGUGAAGAUGCAGUGUACCCGCGGCAAGACGGAAAGACCCCGUGAACCUUUACUAUAGCUUGACACUGAACAUUGAGCCUUGAUGUGUAGGAUAGGUGGGAGGCUUUGAAGCGUGGACGCCAGUCUGCGUGGAGCCAACCUUGAAAUACCACCCUUUAAUGUUUGAUGUUCUAACGUUGGCCCCUUACCGGGGUUGCGGACAGUGUCUGGUGGGUAGUUUGACUGGGGCGGUCUCCUCCCAAAGCGUAACGGAGGAGCACGAAGGUUAGCUAAUCCUGGUCGGACAUCAGGAGGUUAGUGCAAUGGCAUAAGCUAGCUUGACUGCGAGCGUGACGGCGCGAGCAGGUGCGAAAGCAGGUCAUAGUGAUCCGGUGGUUCUGAAUGGAAGGGCCAUCGCUCAACGGAUAAAAGGUACUCCGGGGAUAACAGGCUGAUACCGCCCAAGAGUUCAUAUCGACGGCGGUGUUUGGCACCUCGAUGUCGGCUCAUCACAUCCUGGGGCUGAAGUAGGUCCCAAGGGUAUGGCUGUUCGCCAUUUAAAGUGGUACGCGAGCUGGGUUUAGAACGUCGUGAGACAGUUCGGUCCCUAUCUGCCGUGGGCGCUGGAGAAUUGAGGGGGGCUGCUCCUAGUACGAGAGGACCGGAGUGGACGCAUCACUGGUGUUCGGGUUGUCAUGCCAAUGGCACUGCCCGGUAGCUAAAUGCGGAAGAGAUAAGUGCUGAAAGCAUCUAAGCACGAAACUUGCCCCGAGAUGAGUUCUCCCUGAGACUUUAAGUCUCCUGAAGGAACGUUGAAGACGACGACGUUGAUAGGCCGGGUGUGUAAGCGCAGCGAUGCGUUGAGCUAACCGGUACUAAUGAACCGUGAGGCUUAACCUUACAACGCCGAAG